AAUCAAUCUCAGCUUGUUCCUCCACGAUCAUAGUCUAGGAACCUAGACUACCACGAUCCCAGUCACCCCCCCAACUAUGUAAUUCUUUUCACAAUUUUGCCUACAUUACGCGUGUUCAAUACAGUGCUACAUGGUGUCGUUUUUUUUUAUAUUUUAAUCUGAAACUUAUUAGCACUCUGUUUUUUUUUUCUCUUCUUAUAGCUGUGUUCAAAAUGUAUUCCUCCAUGGUUCACUAGUUCUCUGGGGUUUCAAAUAAGGUGUAGUUACUAACCCUUUCAUUUUUAUUCUGGAUUUCACUGACUGAUUUAGCUUUCUAUAGAUUUUUAAUAAAUAAAGUUUAUUUUGGUUGUUGACGAAA